GACGAACGCUGGCGGCGUGCUUAACACAUGCAAGUCGAACGGUGAAGGGGUCUGCUUUUGUGGGCCCUGGAUGAGUGGCGAACGGGUGAGUAACACGUGAGUAACCUGCCCCCUUCUUCUGGAUAACCGCAUGAAAGUGUGGCUAAUACGGGAUAUUCUGGGUCUGUCGCAUGAUGGGUCUGGGAAAGAUUGCGCCUUUGGGUGUUUUUGGUGGGGGAUGGGCUCGCGGCCUAUCAGCUUGUUGGUGGGGUGAUGGCCUACCAAGGCGGUGACGGGUAGCCGGCCUGAGAGGGUGGACGGUCACACUGGGACUGAGACACGGCCCAGACUCCUACGGGAGGCAGCAGUGGGGAAUAUUGCACAAUGGGCGCAAGCCUGUUGCAGCGACGCCGCGUGAGGGAUGGAGGCCUUCGGGUUGUAAACCUCUUUCGCCAGUGAAGCAGGCCUGCUCCUUGUGGGUGGGUUGACGGUAGCUGGAUAAGAAGCGCCGGCUAACUACGUG
rnacentral:rRNA from 1 species